UACGUAGGGGGCAAGCGUUGUCCGGAAUCAUUGGGCGUAAAGAGCGUGUAGGCGGCUUGGUAAGUCCGCUGUGAAAGUCCAGGGCUCAACCCUGGAAAGCCGGUGGAAACUGUCAAGCUUGAGUCCGGAAGAGGCGAGUGGAAUUCCUGGUGUAGCGGUGAAAUGCGCAGAUAUCAGGAGGAACACCGAUGGCGAAGGCAGGUCUCUGGGACGGUACUGACGCUGAGGCGCGAAAGCGUGGGGAGCAAACAGG
rnacentral:rRNA from 1 species